rnacentral:rRNA from 1 species
GGCUUAACCGGGAGGGUGCGGUGAAUACUGAGGGACUAGAGUACGGGAGAGGAAAGUGGAAUCCCUGGUGUAGCGGUGAAAUGCGUAGAUAUCAGGAGGAACACCGGUGGUGUAGACGGCUUUCUGGACCGUAACUGACGCUGAGACACGAAAGCGUGGGUAGCAAACAGGAUUAGAUACCCUGGUAGUCCACGCCCUAAACGAUGCAUAUAGGGUGUGGGCAGUUCAUUCUGUCCGUGCCGGAGCUAACGCGUAAAAUAUGCCGCCUGGGGAGUACAGCCGCAAGGCUGAAACUCAAAGGAAUNGACGGGGGCCCGCACAAGCGGUGGAGCAUGUGGUUCAAUUCGACGCAACGCGAAGAACCUUACC